UUGGAACACUCGAAACCACUCCAGCCACCAACACCCCAAAUCUCACUCUUCUCAGAGACUCUCUUUAAUAAUGGUGCUUUACAUUCUCCUUUGUGAGCUGCAAGGUAUGCAAAUUAACUUGGAACACGGGGACUUGAUACAUGUCCACAGAGUCUACUGAAACUGCAGGGAGGCUGCAAAGCAAGUACUGACCAAUGCAAGCGUUCCAGCAAAGCCUACCUCCAGAAAGUUGGAAAGCACCACAGAUGACAGAAGAGAACUGCCUGUAGUAACAGUGGUGAACCAGAACUACAGAGUGGGUUCUUGUUCAGAAAACUCUGCGUGUUUCAGAUCAGAAUUUUAACUGCCCUCUUAUUUGCUGCCAGUGUUUCCAUCUCAUCCUAUGUGCACACCCUUGCCAUCAACAGUAAGUACCGCGUGAUCAAAAUGAUGCCUAUAGAAAUAAGACCAAAAUCUCACCAUCUCAGCAGCAAGUGCUGGAUCAUAAGCCUGAAAUUGUGUGUGAUGAUCUGACGAGUGCUGCACUGAGGGCUUUUAUUCUGGAGGUGAUUUUGAUUUUUAUGUACUUAAAUAAAAUUCUAUAGCCUGGUAAAUUAUUCCUUUCUCUAUGGAAUGAAAAGGUAAGUCCCCCCAACAUAGUGCCUUCCUACAUGCAAACAGAUAGGCACCCACCUACAAUUCCUCAAUAAUCCCCAUUUUAGGAAAGCAAAUUGCAAAGCAUUCUGAACACAUAUAUGGGCAAUUUAACAGAAUCUUGUAUUUUAGAGGAUAUCCGAACCUCUGUUUUUCAGUAUGUGAUUACAAAAAUCAAAUGGAAUGAAGAGUUUCAAUGGUAUAACAUCAGAGAGGCACAACAGCUCUGACAGUGUUGUCAAGUUGUAUGCUGUUAAAUGGACUUGUGCAGCUGCAGGUCCAGCCUAUGCCUUUGAUGAGGCUAGCAUGCCACGCAGGCAUUCACAAAAACACUUCUACUCAUCUGAAUGGAACAAAAGCUUCUACUAUACUGUAUUGGAAAAGUAAGGAUUCUGCAAAGUUAGAUAGUUGUCUGUCUUGUGAAAAGGAAGGAAACUGAGCACUUGAGGUCUAAGCUUUUCUUUAAAAGCAAGUGAUUUCUGAAGAUAACAUUAUCUUCUUAUUAAAAUCUUCUAAGUAUUUAAAUGAUGAGCUCUAACACAAUUAAUACUAUCGCAUCGAUUUCUGAUCUUGUCCUUUCUAACUCCAAAGAACAUCUUAAACUCAAGAAAGUAAACAUCACCAGUGCAGUACUGAUCAAUUUUUCUGGUGAAAGGAACUAUGGAUAAAAAUAAACUACCACUGUGUUGCAUUUAAGUAGACAAAGAGGAAACUGUCAAUUUUAGUAGCCACCUAAGCGUCAGGUUAGAUGCAUAGUCUCUCUGCAGGG